CUGUUAGUAACCCCACCUGUUAGUAACCCCACCUGUUACUAACCUGCAGCUGUUACUAACCUCCACCUGUUACUAACUUCCACCUGUUACUAACCCCCACCUGUUACUAACCUCCACCUGUUACUAACUUCCACCUGUUACUAACCUCCUCCUGUUACUUACCCCCACCUGUUACUAGGGUUGGGCACCGAGAACCGGUUCCAAAAGGAACCGGUUCCUAACGUCCGGUUCUGGAACUGUUAAGACGAUGUUUGAAUUUCGAUUAUUUUUAUCGGUUCCUAAAUGCGCGCGCAUGUUUCCGGGGCGGGGUUUGUAUUACUCCGCCGCGUGCUCCGCUAAACAUCAGUUGUCUGAAGUUCGAACAUGGACCGCAAACGCCGCUCAAAAGUCUGGCUUCAUUUUAAUUUAAAAAAGGACGGCUUCGCACAGUAAACACCUGCAAUAAACUUAUUACUGCCAAAGGAGGGUGCACAACAAACAUGAUAAAACACCUUCGCCUGCUGCAUGGUAUAACAAUUAAAGAGUGUAGUGUGUUUGACGCGUUGCGUCGGUCUCGUGCUCCCGUCGCUUCCUCCACUUUGGACAGUCAACCAUCAGCUAGUAACUCCUCAUUGGAAACGGAAUCAGUUGUUGAACGCUCGCAGAGUGAUGCUAACGUUAACGUUAGCCAGUCUGAGCCUGCUGCUGCUGCUGCGGCUGCUGCUGCUACGUUAACCGGCCCGAGACCCCAGCCAGCAAAGAUACAACAAACUCCUUUCAGCAUGGCAGCAAGGGGAAAGCUGUCAGCGGAGCAAAUUGCUGAGUGCCACAGAAAAGUAACGGCGUAUGUGGUAAAAAGGCUGCAUCCCUUUAGCGACGUCGGGUCGCCCACAUUUAGGGAUAUGAUCCAUUCAAUAAACCCGAAGUACACCCCCCCUACAAGGGAGUGUUUAACUAAUAGAUUGAUCCCGGCAUGGUACCAGAUAGAAAAAUCUAAUCUGAUCUCAGAGCUGAGUGAGGUCAGUCACAUAGCUCUCACUUGUGAUGGCUGGACUAACCUAACCCAAGACCACUACCUAACUGUCACAGUGCACUAUUUAGUGGAAAGCAACAUGAGGCAGAAAGUUCUCGCAACAAAAGCUGUGUACAGAGCCCAGACAGGAAUUGUCGUGGCAGAGGAAAUCGGCGACAUCCUGAAAGAAUUUGGCGUGUUUGAUAAAGUAGUAGCCGUUACUGUGGAUAAUGCGGCCAAUAUGGACGUAGCCAUCAAACGGCUGCAGUUUGUGAAGCUCGGCUGCUUCGCUCAUUCACUAAACCUAGCAGCACAAAGUCUGUACUCCAGCAGCUCAGUGGCUCAGUGGACUGCAAAGAUUCGUGCCAUCAUCGUCUGGAUGAAGAGGUCGUCCAUGGCGAAGGUGGUUCUACGGGAAAAGCAGGAUGUCCUAAACCUCCCUCAACAUUCACUGAUUCUCGAUGUGAGAUCAAGGUGGAAUUCUCUCUACCUAAUGAUGGAGAGAUUCCUUGAACAAUACCCUGCAAUACAAGCAGCCAGCUUGGACCAACGCCUGAGAAAGAAUAUGGAGAGGGACAGGCUUGAUCGGCUGACAGAUGGUGAUUUCACCAAGGCUGAAGACUUCAUCAGGCUGAUGCAGGUUCUGUACAUCUGCACGCUCUGUGUUUCCACUGAAAAAAGCCCAACAGCCGGACAGAUCCUGCCGAUCAUCCAAAAGCUGGAGAAACACUUCGCUGCUGUAAAUGGAGACACAGCAUUUGUAGCUGACUUGAAGAAAAGGGUCUGGGGAAACAUGUCUACCCGGUACAAGUUUUGUUUUUAUUGUUUUAAAGAAUGAGGACAUCAGGUUCUUCUUGGAAGAAGCCACUGCCUUAGAUCCCCGCUUCAAGAAUAAGAUGGACAACAACACCGAAGUCUGGGAACGGAUCAAGGGGAAGUUGCUGGCAAACUCUGAAGAGUCGGUGGCAGUCAAUCAUGACCAUUCAGAAGAGGUUGGUGUGAUGCAGGGCGAGGGAAACCAGGAAGGUGUGAAGACUGAGAGCGAGGAGGAAGAGGAGAAUCAGCCUCCUCCUUCCAAACAAUCGAAAAAGUCUCCACUGGAGGAGCUUUUUGCUGAGGAGGAUGCCAUGAAGAGGACCUCACAAGAGGGGUUGAUGUCCAUGGAAAGUCGUGCUGAAAGGGAGAUCCAGACGUACCUGGAAACGCCACCAAUCAUCACAUCGUCUGACCCUGCAGCCUGGUUCUGGACCCAGACACAAACUUAUCCUUUACUGUCAUGUCUGGCCUUCUCAUAUUUAUGUGUCCAGGCCUCCUCAACACCUAGUGAACGGGUGUUUUCUACUGCAGGAAACACAAUCUGUGCGGAACGGUCGCGCUUACUGCCUGAGAAGGCAGACAUGAUAAUCUUCCUAAACAAGAACUGUUGUUAAUGAUUUGUCACAACUGCGCCAGGGUUUGAGUUUGUUUUAUUUUGUUACAUAUACAUCCACCUGGGCUGCAGCUCUUUGCUUUUUAGACUGCUGCCAACUUGUGUCACUUCAGCAGAAUUCAGUUAUAGUUACAGUUAGGGACCCUCGGCAAUGUGAAUAAAUAUAAUGGCCUGUGUAAAGGCUUUUUCAA